GUGUCUGUGUGUAGGGAUGGGUUGUAGGGCGUCUGUGUGUAUGGAUGGGUUGUAGGGUGUCUGUGUGUAUGGAUGGGUUGUAGGGUGUCUGUGUGUAUGGAUGGGUUGUAAGGUGUCUGUGUGUGUGGAUGGAUUGUAGGGUGUCUGUGUGUAUGGAUGGAUUGUAGGGUGUCUGUGUGUAUGGAUGGGUUAUAGGGCGUCUGUGUGUAUGAAUGGAUUGAAGGGCGUCUGUGUGUAUGGAUGGAUUGUAGGGCGUCUGUGUGUAUGAAUGGGUUGUAGGGCGUCUGUGUAUGGAUGGAUUGUAGGGCGUCUGUGUAUGAAUGGGUUGUAGGGCGUCUGUGUGUGUGGAUGGAUUGUAGGGCGUCUGUGUGUAUGGAUGGGUUGUAGGGCAUCUGUGUAUGGAUGGAUUGUAGGGCGUCUGUGUGUAUGAAUGGGUUGUAGGGCGUCUGUGUAUGGAUGGAUUGUAGGGC
ensembl:lncRNA